rnacentral:rRNA from 1 species
AGAUUGAACGCUGGCGGCGUGCCUAACACAUGCAAGUCGAGCGGUAACAGGUGUAGCAAUACAUGCUGACGAGCGGCGGACGGGUGAGUAAUGCUUGGGAAUCUGCCUAUUAGUGGGGGACAACUCGGGGAAACUCGGGCUAAUACCGCAUACGCACUACGGUGGAAAGCGGGGGAUCGCAAGACCUCGCGCUAAUAGAUGAGCCCAAGUCGGAUUAGCUAGUUGGUAGGGUAAUGGCCUACCAAGGCUUCGAUCCGUAACUGGUCUGAGAGGACGACCAGUCACACCGGAACUGAGACACGGUCCGGACUCCGUACGGGAGGCAGCAGUGGGGAAUAUUGGACAAGUGGGGGACAACCCGUGAUCCAGCGACGCCGCGUGGUGAAGAAGGCGUGGCGGGUUGUAAACGGCCCGUUUGGUAGGGUAAAGAAAGGUCGUCGUACGUUAAUAAGGUCGGACCUUGAACGUUAACCUAACAAAG